GGGAUUAUAUUUAAUUAUAAUAUUUGAAUUGCAAUCAAAAGGUAUCUCACAGAUUAAUCUUU
rnacentral:tRNA from 1 species